rnacentral:rRNA from 1 species
GACGAACGCUGGCGGCGUGCUUAACACAUGCAAGUCGAACGGAAAGGCCCUGCUUUUGUGGGGUGCUCGAGUGGCGAACGGGUGAGUAACACGUGAUUAACCUGCCCUUGACUUUGGGAUAACUUCAGGAAACUGGGGCUAAUACCGGAUAGGAGCUCCUGCUGCAUGGUGGGGGUUGGAAAGUUUCGGCGGUUGGGGAUGGACUCGCGGCUUAUCAGCUUGUUGGUGGGGUAGUGGCUUACCAAGGCUUUGACGGGUAGCCGGCCUGAGAGGGUGACCGGCCACAUUGGGACUGAGAUACGGCACAGACUCCUACGGGAGGCAGCAGUGGGGAAUAUUGCACAAUGGGCGGAAGCAUGAUGCAGCAACGCCGCGUGCGGGAUGACGGCCUUCGGGUUGUAAACCGCUUUCGCCUGUGACGAAGCGUGAGUGACGGUAAUGGGUAAAGAAGCACCGGCUAACUACGUG